UGUCCGCCGGGCUGGCGGGUGCUGGAAUUGCCUUCUCGCAGCUGGAUGCGCACUUCCCGAUUCGCCUCCCGGACUUCACUCCAGUAUUUGAGAGCGAGCUCCUCGCCAUGAUACUGGCUCUCCGCAUGGUCCCUCCUCAAUUCUGCAAGGUUCUGCUCCUGUCAGACUAUCUGUCUGUCAUCGCAGCUCAGUCGGACCCCUCUGCCGACGCCUGGAAGACCUUCCUGUCUCUUACUCCGAGUCAUAUCACGGACGUCGUCUUGACGUGGAUUCCAGGACAUCGUGGCCUCUCUAUCAACAAGUGGGCUGAUAACCUCCCUUACAAAAAUAGUUUUCACCUUUCUACAGACGUUCUGCGUGCUUUCUGUAUACCCUGUCACCUUUCUGUGGGCUGCUCCUUUCUGUGUAACAUGUACACAAGGAAUGAAUAGACAUUUUGUAUGCGUUCUGUGUCUUUAAUUCCUAUAGACUUUGUGACGACCUGGUAUGCAGAAUGCCUAUACACUUCCAGUGUGCUACCGGUUUGCUCCUUUCUGUGUACUAGGUACACAUAAAUUGUACAGACAUUCUGUGUGCGUUAUGUGCCUUCAACCCUUGUAGAAUUUAUGACGACUCGGUAUGCAUAAUGUCUGUAAAUUUUGAGUGCGCUGCUGGUUUGCUCCUUUCUGUGUACUAGGUUGACAGAAAUUCUGCAGACAUUUUGUGUGCGUUGUGCGUCUUCAACCCCUGUAGAAUUUGUGACCACUCAGUAUACAGAAUGUUUGCAUAUUUUGAGUGUGCAGCUGCUCCGCUCUUUUCUGUGUACCAGGUACACAAAAAUUCUACACAUUUUGUGUGCGUUAUAUGUCUCCAUCCCCUGCAGAACUUGUGACGACUUAGCAUACAGAAUGUCUGCACAUUUUGAGUGCACCACCAUUUUACUCCUUGUGUAGAAAACGUGCAGAAUUUCUGCGCACAUAGUACCCAGAAAUUCUACACAUUUUAUGCGCGCGUUCUGUGUCCUCAACCACCGGUAGAAUUUGUACGACUCGUGCAGAAUGCACGCAAUUCUGCAUAAUGUCUGUACACUUUGAGUGUGCCACUGGUGCUCACUUACUAAAGCUCUGCUGCUUGUACUGCUACACUUGCUUUACUCUGCUACUAUCUCUUUACUACUUGCUUCGUACUAAGCACACAGGAAUUCCGCAGGUAACUUAUGCGCUGGGUGUGUUGGUAUAAUUGUGCGAAUGGCCUCCUGCGGCCUUUAUAAGUGGGAAUCACUCCUUCGGAAAUCCAUCGAAAGUUUUCGUUUUUUUUUUUUUGCACAAAAAGCGCGCAAUGUAUAUUUGUGACACUUUCACUAACGUGUUUCCCUCGCAUAGGAAUGGCACAAUUAAAAAAAAAGAUGUAAUCCCAUCGAAUAAUUGAUGAGACAAUUUUGUUUGUGAAAUUUUCGAAUUUCGCGCCAUCAGCCCCACAAUCACGUGAUAAGAAUGUGAGAAACAAAAAUUCCCCAAUUAUCGGGGCGUCCUUGUGUGCUAAAAAUAGUGUAAUCCCUUAGAGAAAAGCGAGUGGAACAUGCCCCCUGUUGGAAAAAACCAUAAAAGUCCAUACAGAUUAUGUAUGGACUUGUGUGGACUCUUACGACUUUGAAUGGAAAUGGUAUGGAACGCUAUGGAAUUAUAUGGUCCUCAAACGCUACGCGUACGGACUGCUACGGUGCACCAAUGGAAUCCAUAUGGCAUGUGCGGACUUCUAUGGUGGCCGUACGGGUUCCAUAGAGAGUGUGUACGGAACUCUAUGGCAGCCGUUCAAAGUCCGUAGAGCGAGUUUGCGGACUUCUGUGACGGCCGUACAGGUGUCCAUACAGCAAACUUCUGUGUGUACGGAACCUCUUGGCAGGCAUAGAAAUCAUAUUUAGCCGAAGGACGACUAGAUGUCAAAUGCGCUGUGUGCGCAUCACCGUGACAUGGUUGCUGCUUUGCGCAUGCCGCAACACUUUCACCACUAUCAUAGAGAUUUUUCCAAACUGCAAUCUGUUAAAGCGGAUUUGUUUACGUUGCUUUUUUAGCUUACGGCACACAAUCAAGCUGUUUGCACUGUUUACAUAACAUAAUAAUAAUAAUAAUAAUAAUAUUAAUAACAAUAAUAAUGGGAUACGUUGAUAUGCAGGAAUGAAAUGAUUCAAUAUUUACUUGUUGACGCAUGAUAGGGAUCUAAAAAUAGGCAAACAAUAUUGAAGUAACACAUAGGCUAUGCUGGUCCUUUGUUCAUAUAUCGUUGGGUGCCGCUCGUGGCGAUUUUCUGGAGAUAUCACGAGUUAUCCUUUUCGUGAUUUGACAUCAUUCUCAAUGCCUUGAAGUGAGCGUUCUAUAAUCACAAACACAAAUACACGCACAUAAUUGGCGUAAUACUUUCCGUGGAACGGUGUUUUCAUAACACGAAAAUGCAGUAAUAGAACAGAAACCGAAACAGACAAACUGCCGUCUAAGAAUGGCGAUGGUCGUCAGCGUAUGGCACUCUGAUUAAUGUUAUGGGCCACUGUUAUUUAGUUUGAGAAAAAUGAUGGUUAAUCCGGUUAAUCUUUUGUGCAAAGCCAAAAGUCGGUAAGAAAUAAUAUAUAAAAAUUACCUGUUGCUAGAUACACUUUGCCUAGGGGGCUACGUGUCGCUGUGUUUUUGGCUUUGGGUGGUUAUGGCGGACGUAGGCGAAGCACGUUGUUUCUGUGUGAUCAAUUUCCUUUUUCAGCAAAACCUUUCUUGGCUGCACAACGUAUUUUAAUCUGCGUGCAGUGUAUGAACUCGUGAUAUAUGCGGACAAAGUGGAGGUAGUUACUACAGUGUCAAGAAGUUGCACUUCCAUGAAGGAUCGGUGGACGAUUUUAGCUCAACGGCUGUUUAUGCCUGCUGGCGAAGAAACGAUGGACUGUUGUCCCGCCAAGGUGCCGAUAAUGAAAGGUAAACAUAUAAAUAUUUGUUGUGAUGUGAUAAUGAAGUGAUACGGAAUGCUAUCUGUGAUUGCAAAGUGCAUGCGUGAAGUUUGAAAAUCCUUUGCGAUCCGUUCAAACAAAGGAACGAAACUCGAUCACGAGAGGAGAGUGAGAUUCGCUAGAGUUAGCAACAGUUGUUUAGGUAUCGGGACCCGGCUGAUUAGCUUUGGAAUAAGCGUUGAAAUGUGUUACAUAAUCGUCAUUGCACAUACAAAAGCGCGUGCCAUUAAGGAUUGUUAGGUGGGGUUCUGUGGUUUGUCAUGUGCGACUUGGUUGUGCGCGGAUGGGUUGGAAGCUUAGAUGUUUCUGUUCGGGUGUGUCUCGGCUACAUCUCGUCGUUUAGAUCAUCAUAUGUUUGAGAUGCACGUACUUGAAUGUGUGUUUCUAUGUCGCUGCAAAUACAAGUGCCCUGUGUUGUAGACAUAUAGUAUAGUUGGCCCCGAAAUCGUAACACAUUCACUUUUUUAAAACAAUCCCGUGUUAUCUUGUCAAACCAUUGCUUUUGUCUUUCGCAACGCUUAGAUAAAAUAACACAGGUGAAUUUCUCAUAAAUAAAGUCAAAUGUAUAUGUUAGUAAUUCAUGAUUAAAUUUUCAGAAAAGUAGAGUGGGCCGGCCGUUGACCACAGUAAGUCACAUGUGCAUCCAACGUAAUGAGAAUGAGCCGAGGUAGUCUACAGGCGUGGACAACACGGCGUGGCUUGCUCACCCACUGCAUGCUUGCGUACUGAAGCCAUCUUUCUUUUCCUACAAAAUUUUGUUUUAAAAUAUAUUCUGACAUAUAUGAACAUGAACAUAGUAUUGUGUACUUGUAGUGUUUCCACACUAUAUUAGUUACAUGCAUGCCAUGCUUUGUACGACAUACUCCUCUGAUUGUGCCUUUCAUCUGUCAAAUGCUGUUUUCCAGAAAACGUACCUUAUCAAGACAGUGUGACGUCCACAAGCAAGUGCCACAGAUUUUUUAUGCUCAUGACACGGAUGCAGCUCUGGGUGUAUGUGAAGCCUGCCGGUACCUGUAUCAGGCUGGUUUGAAAAAUUCUCCAGCGAGAAGUGGCAAGAACAGUGCGGUCACCUAGGGAGCUCCACGGACAGAUCAUGACUGCAAAGCGGCGCCAGCAGUUGCUGCUGUCACGAGUUGCUUUCAGGAGUACACUGCCACGAAGCCCAGCCGCAAAGGCAGAAGUCUGACUGAGUGAAUUGAUCCAAUUAACGGCUACUUGGCUGACUUCCUAAAAAGGCUCAAACACUCACGUCUCAUCCCAUCAUCUUGCGGACUGCCACACAUACCCAUGCCAUACAGCAAGGUCGGGGGCCAUACAGGCUAUGGACUCCAUAGGAGGCCAUACAGUGUACGGACUGCCAUAGGAGGCCAUUCAGUGUACGGACUGCCAUAGGAGGCCAUUCAGUGUACGGACUGCCAUAGGAUGCCAUACAGCGUACGGAGUCCGUACCAGUCCAUAGAGUGUAUGGAGUCCGUUCAGUUAUACCGUAUGACUGCCAAACGGACACUUGUAUGGUUUUUUCUA